rnacentral:rRNA from 1 species
GCUGGCGGCGCGCUUAACACAUGCAAGUCGAACGAGAAAGCGGGGAGCAAUCCUCGCAAGUACAGUGGCGUACGGGUGAGUAACACGUGGGUGAUCUACCCUUUAGUGGGGAAUAACGCUGGGAAACCGGCGCUAAUACCGCAUAAGCCUGGUUUUUCGUUGAAUCAGGGAAAGCAGCAAUGUGCUGAAGGAGGAGCCCGCGGCCGAUUAGCCAGUUGGUGAGGUAAAGGCUCACCAAAGCAUAGAUCGGUAGCCGGCCUGAGAGGGCACACGGCCACACUGGCACUGAGACACGGGCCAGACUCCUACGGGAGGCAGCAGUGGGGAAUCUUGCACAAUGGGGACAACCCUGAUGCAGCGACGCCGCGUGAACGAUGAAGCCCUUCGGGGUGUAAAGUUCUUUCGGCAGGGAAGAUGAUGACGGUACCUGCAGAAGCAGCUGCGGCUAACUACGUGCCAGCAGCCGCGGUAAUACGUAGGCAGCGAGCGUUGUUCGGAGUUACUGGGCGUAAAGGGUGUGUAGGCGGCUUUCUAAGUUUGGUGUGAAAUCUCCCGGCUCAACCGGGAGGGUGCGCCGAAAACUGGGAGGCUAAGUGUUGGGAUG